AAACUAACAAGGAUUCCCCUAGUAACGGCGAGUGAAGCGGGAAGAGCUCAAAUUUGAAAUCUAACGGACUCAGUCUGUUCGAGUUGUAAUCUAUAGGAACGUUUUCCGUGCCGGCUCAUGUACAAGUCCCUUGGAACAGGGCGUCAUAGAGGGUGAGAAUCCCGUACUUGACAUGAACUACCGGUGCUCUGUGAUACGUCUCCAACGAGUCGAGUUGUUUGGGAAUGCAGCUCAAAAUGGGUGGUAAAUUCCAUCUAAAGCUAAAUAUUGGUGUGAGACCGAUAGCGAACAAGUACCGUGAGGGAAAGAUGAAAAGCACUUUGGAAAGAGAGUUAAACAGUAUGUGAAAUUGUUGAAAGGGAAACGAUUGAAGUCAGUCAUGUCCUUCAGAUUCAGCUGGUUCUGCCGGUGUAUUUCUGUUGGAUGGGGUCAACAUCAGUUUUGGAUGCCGGAUAAAGGCUGGAGGAAGGUAGCACCCUCGGGUGAACUUAUAGCCUCCUGUCGCAUACGGUGACCGGGACUGAGGAACGCAGCUUGCCUUUAUGGCCGGGGUUCGCCC
rnacentral:rRNA from 1 species